rnacentral:lncRNA from 1 species
ACAACCAAGAAGGUCUUUAGUCGUAGUUUGAUGUCUUGCUUGGGUCCCUGCAGUGAAAACAAGAUGUUUCUCCCUAGGUUGCUAUAAAACCCAGCAACUCGACCUCCCCUAGGGAGAUCUGGGCUUUCAGAGGAGAAUCUGUGUUUCUACACGAUGAAAACAGAAUUCUCCUGAGAGCUUUCCAUGGAGACUUCUCAUGGGAGGAGAUGCUUGGGGGGGGGGGUCCCAGUUGUUGCUGUCACGGCGAUUUCAAUAUCCACAAUAUUGCCGCUAUACACUGCAUUGACCACGCCUUGGCAAUAUCUCCGGUCUCAUCGACUGCUGACUGACAGACCUGGAAAGGCCCAUCUACUGGGGCUCGGAGUUGAAGAAAUGGAUGGCAGAAAAAAAAAUCACUCAAGGAUGAGUAUGUAGACAAAGAAGACUCAAUAUUGAAGCAAGGGCAGGCUCCCUUCUGCCAUGAUGGUUUGUCACAGUUCCAGAAGCACAGACACCUGACUAGCAACUGAAACCUUUGAGACAGGUGUCUGCCAGGCGGGUUCCCCCCCCCCCCCCAUGGAAAGCUCGGCUUCUAAAUCAGAGCUCUG